UUAUGGACUCUGUGGGAUUCAUUAUAUUGACGCUGGUUACCUUGGUUUCAAGGCCUACUUCACUGCUCCUCGAAAAGGCACCGUUUGGAGUCUUUCAGGAUCCGACUGGCUUGGGACAAUAGCUGCAGGAGAUAUAUCCGGGGAGCUCAUUGCUGCUAUAUUACCAGAUAUGGCACUGAAUCCAAUAAAUGUCAAGCGACCUGUAGAGCGAAGAUUUGUACGUAUAUGAACAUCUAACAGCAGCUGUUGGAUCCUAACCCACAUGCCCUCCCAAAUUCUGGUAGAGUACAAACUAGUGUCAGGUCUCCCGGCCCUGAUAUCCCAGAAAAUCUUAGCACAGAGUGGUAUAUAAUCUUCCCUACCG
rnacentral:sRNA from 1 species